ACUCAAAUGAAUAGACGGGGGCUCACACAAGCGGUGGAGUAUGUGGCUUAAUUCGAGGCUACGCGCAGAACCUUAUCCCGGGCUUGACAUGCACGGAUUAGCCGGCGGAAACGUCGGCGAGGCCGCAAGGUACAACGUGCACAGGUGCUGCAUGGCUGUCGUCAGCUCGUGCCGUGAGGUGUUGGGUUAAGUCCCGUAACGAGCGAAACCCCUGCCCUUAGUUGCCAGCGGGUCAUGCCGGGAACUCUAAGGGGACCGCCGGCGUCAAGCCGGAGGAAGGCGGGGAUGACGUCAAGUCCUCAUGGCCCUUAUGCCCGGGGCUGCACACGUACUACAAUGGGCCGGACAGAGCGACGCCAACUCGCGAGAGCGCGCCAAUCGCAAAAACCGGCCCCCAGUUCGGAUUGCGGGCUGCAACCCGCCCGCAUGAAGCCGGAAUCGCUAGUAAUCGCGGAUCAGCAUGCCGCGGUGAAUGGGUUCCUGAGCCUUGUACACACCGCCCGU
rnacentral:rRNA from 1 species